GAAUAUAAAAUCAAAAAUAAAAGAAAAAAAAAAUGUAUUUUCACACAAGAAGGAUCAUAUUAAAGUUCAUAAACAACUCAUAAGAAAGCUUAAUACCCUAUGUUCUAAUAACAAGAUUUCUCUAUUACCACAUGCUAAUAGAACAUUCCAAAUUAGAAAAUCUAUUUUCAGAUAUAUCAUGAAUAAUAUAAAGACAUUUCUAAAUUGAUGAGCAUCAUACCUAAAUACUCAAAAGCACUGCUUAUAUGGCACUUCUGAAAAAAUUAAGUUUUUCUCAUCACUAUGAAACACAAACCGGUCUUGAACUUAGAGUUUAGCAGUAAAAAAUUAGGGUGACUUGGUGGCUACAAUAAGCUUCAUUGUACAUAAAGCAUAUAUUUACUCCAGCGGAUAAAAUUAACAUUAAAGCACUCAACAAAUUGCUUGUGAUCUUCAGCCUAGAGCACAUGAAAUGUGUUCCUAAUUUUUUUUAAUUAAACAAAUAAACAACUCAACAGGUUUAAAUUAUAUAAAAGGUUAAGCAUUAAGCCGUCAAAUGAAUAUCUUGAGUAGAAGUCAACAAUGUCAGGAGGUAUAAUUUUUCCUACCCAGUGCAUCACCUAUAAAGUCAUGAAAUCAAAAUUCAACUCUUUCCAUACCGAUGUUGCCCUCUGGUGUUAGC
rnacentral:misc_RNA from 1 species